AUUGAACGCUGGCGGCAGGCUUAACACAUGCAAGUCGAGCGGAGAGAAGUAGCUUGCUACUGAUCUUAGCGGCGGACGGGUGAGUAAUGCUUAGGAAUCUGCCUAUUAGUGGGGGACAACAUUCCGAAAGGGAUGCUAAUACCGCAUACGCCCUACGGGGGAAAGCAGGGGAUCUUCGGACCUUGCGCUAAUAGAUGAGCCUAAGUCGGAUUAGCUAGUUGGUGGGGUAAAGGCCUACCAAGGCGACGAUCUGUAGCGGGUCUGAGAGGAUGAUCCGCCACACUGGGACUGAGACACGGCCCAGACUCCUGCGGGAGGCAGCAGUGGGGAAUAUUGGACAAUGGGCGGAAGCCUGGUCCAGCCAUGCCGCGUGUGUGAAGAAGGCCUUUUGGUUGUAAAGCACUUUAAGCGAGGAGGAGGCUCUUAAGGUUAAUACCCUUGAUGAGUGGACGUUACUCGCAGAAUAAGCACCGGCUAACUCUGUGCCAGCCGCCGCUGUAAUAC
rnacentral:rRNA from 1 species